UAUAAUUAUAAAAGAAGUUCUUGUAGUUUGAGCACCACAAGAGGGGUAUGUUGGGCACUACUCCAGAAAGAAUCUAUCUGACAUCCUAUCUUCAAAAAUUCGCCGAUUCUCUCUUUCCAUAUAUGCUACAAAAGGCAUAAUUAUAACUUAUAUUCAUGGCUGUCCUCUUGUUCAUGAAGCCAAGGAAAUUAGGCAAUCUAGAACCCAAUUGAAAUCAAUUUGAUUGGAGAGAUUCAUGGAAGGUAACCUUUUAGAAAAUGUAGUAUUUUUAGUUGUAGAAGGAAGAUAUUAUUGCGGGGAUUAACAUGAUCUCUUCAAAGCAUAUUUAUUUCUUUCGAGUUGAUAAUGUUAUAUUAUUCAUUUUAUCGCAUAAUCAUUUGAAUAAAGUUAUUUAGAUCAUAAA